UACGUAGGGUGCAAGCGUUGUCCGGAAUUAUUGGGCGUAAAGAGCUCGUAGGCGGACCUGCAAGUCGGGGGUGAAAGCCCGAGGCUCAACCUCGGAACUGCCUUCGAUACUGCGGGUCUCGAGUCCGGGAGAGGUGAGUGGAAUUCCUAGUGUAGAGGUGAAAUUCGUAGAUAUUAGGAAGAACACCAGUGGCGAAGGCGGCUCACUGGCUCGGUACUGACGCUGAGGCGCGAAAGCGUGGGGAGCAAACAGG
rnacentral:rRNA from 1 species